AUACGAGAUAUGAUCCAGUGUAAUGACGCCAACGCGCGAAACUUUAUAAGAUUAUUCAACUACAUAAUGAAAAUCAUGUUAAAACCACGAGAAGUUAAACUUGAAUCCUAACUUCAUUAGUAUUUUCUCUGAUAGCAUAUUUUUUAAUUUUGUAAAUAUGCAUUAAAGAUGACCUCUAAGCGAAAAUCUAAAAGGAAAGGGAGAAAAAAUGUUAAUUAUACUGAUAUGAGCUCCAAUUGUGAAAGUGAUGAUGAUUUUGAAGUUGAUUUUGAACCACAAACAAAGAAGGCGAAGCAUAAAGAGAAGGAAAUGAACAAAGAGAAGAAAGGCGAGAGAAGAUGAUGAUGCACUCGACUCCUGCGAUGCAGGUGACACCUGCGAUAAGAGUAGUGUUAAAGUGAACAAGAUUCAUGACAAUGAUGUCGAAAGUGAUUCCAAUGAAGAGAAAAUUGUGAACCUGAAGAACGGCAAGAAAAUGUCUGGUGGGAGUCAUAUGUUUUCCGAGUCAUCCGACUAAAAAUGCACCCCUGUUGUUGGUACAAAGGAGAAAAAGUCAUCACCUAUAAAUUCUUCCAAAGAGAACUUUGAACAUUUGAAAAAUGAAAGGAAAAUUUCCACAUUUUCUUGCGUUGGUACAAACGAGAAAAAGUCAUCACCUAUAAAUUCUUCUAAAGAGAGCGUUAAGCAUAUGAAAAAUGAGGGGACAAUCUCAACAUUUUCAUUGAUACCUGACGAAGCAAAAUUUAUUAGAAACAUGAUGAAUAAAGUACAAUCUCUAAAAAGGCGUGUUAUAGCCACAUCUACGUCCUAUGACUUCUCUAACUGGUUUCUCAAAUCUUAAAAAUUCACAACUUUUGUUGACGUUGUGUGACUCAAAGAAGAGAAUGAACAACUUAACUGCAAUAUUAUAUGCGUGUCUUCGUGAGAAUUUCAAUGCAAAUUUAAAGCACGCUAAUAAAAUUACGUCAAUGGAAUUAAGCUGUUGAAUAAUUUAAACAUUAAAAAGAAUUUUUUUAAAAGGUGUUUUUAUUUUUUUGCAAUCAGUAUUAAAUAUUCCCUGUCACACAAUCUGACUCAAAAGCAACGUAACAAAAGAGACAUUUCUUUGCAGAUUUUUUCAGAAUGCGUUUUUUU